CAUCUGCGAAAUUAAAUGAUAAGAAAAAGGUGAUUGUGAUUGCAGGACCCACGGCUAGGAAUUGUUUGGCCAAAAUUCCUUUAGCUUUGUCCUUUCACCUGGGCUAUUUGUGGAUUUGUGUGGUGAGGGUUGUUCUAUUGGUGGAAUAUUGCCUAUAUGUAUAUUGUGUAUCUUGUGACUUUGGGAAUGAUACAAAGAGUGAAUGAUAUUGAAAUCACACAAUAAAUCGAGAGUUCACAGAGAGAGACGAGAGUUUGCAGAGAGUGAGCUGAGAGUUUGAGGACAGAGAGAGGUCCGAGGUUACAGAGGAGGCUGGAGGCUUGAAGCUUUGAUGAUCUAGUGAGGAAAAUUCUUUUUCAGGGACAUGUGAAAGAAGUGGCGGGUGACGUUCCACCACAAGCCUAAUUUGGAUUAGAGGAUCAUUUUGCUAUUUUUGUAUCUAAGUCCCAUCAUUUUUUUUUUUUGUAAAAUCUUACUUUUUUAUAUUCGAUAUAGAGACUUAUGGACUCUUGUUAUUGUAAUUAUAUUCAUGGGCAAUAACUUUAAUAUAAGUUGUCUAAACGUUGUAAGACAUGGACUUUUGAUCUUAACCAUAAUUUUUUGGACUGUAACUAUGAUAUUUGGACUAAAUGGUAUCAAAGCAUUUUAUGAGAAUUUUCGGGUCGUGACAUCAUCAGUUUCGCCAUCGUGGGUAAGACGACCUAUCUUCGCCGUAGAUCGAAGAUUUGCGUAUUGGGGAGCACCUUUGCAGAUAGAGAGAGUAUGUCGAAAUGGCCAUGGAAGGUGGACUCUAGCUGCGGGAGUGGUCAAGGCUUAUUUGAGAUUUUGAUCCCCGGCACAUAGAUCAAUAUUCCUUCUCCAGCAGAACCGCGAUGGUGAGUAAUUUACUGCCGACGGCCACAUCGGUGAACCGUCUUAGGGAAUCGCCGAUUAGCACCCCGAUCAUGGAAGUGGUCUUCGUCAUUUAUAGUUUGAUUAUAGGUGGUGGGUCUUUGGGCUCAUUGCAAUAGUUGAAGAAGAAGAAGGGUAGGUCUUCGUCACCACAAUCCGAUGAAGAUCAAAUCAGUCCGAAUUGAUUCACAAAAUUCCACAAACCCUAGGGUUCGAAAUCGACGUAUUGUUUGGUGAAGAAGAUGCCCCUAAAGUGUAAUAGGUUAGAAAAGGAGGUUGAUCAAUUCAAGGAAGCUCGGAGAAAUGGUGGUAACGGUGGUAGGAUCCCCAAAAUACAUAAUAUAUAUAUAUAUAUAUAUAUAUAUAUAUAUAUAUAUAUAUAGUGAAAAUUAAGGUUUGUGAUUUGUAAAAAAGGAGAGAUAAUAUGGGGUUGGUGGCCUUGGUGGUAGAGAAUAGAGAGAAAUGGUGGCUAUUGUGGAGCUUUGCGGUGGUGGUAUGGAGGAUGAAUAGACAAGAGGUGGUGGUGUGCAAAACGAGUCACUGUUUAUUGUCCUUUUUAGUCUUUUUACAAAAUUUUGUAUUUUUAUAUAUUUUAUAAAAUUGUUGACUAAGGGUACUUUAGUCAAGUUUGAUUUUAAA